AGUAAUGUCUGGGAAACUGCCUGAUGGAGGGGGAGUAACUACUGGAAACGGUAGCUAAUACCGCAUAACGUCGCAAGACCAAAGAGGGGGACCUUCGGGCCUCUUGCCAUCGGAUGUGUCCAGAUGGGAUUAGCUAGUAGGUGGGGUAACGGCUCACCUAGGCGACGAUCCCUAGCUGGUCUGAGAGGAUGACCAGCCACACUGGAACUGAGACACGGUCCAGACUCCUACGGGAGGCAGCAUG
rnacentral:rRNA from 1 species